AGCCCCGUGGUGUAGCGGUCAAAUACUUUAAGCAAAGCUUGAGUAGACUUUGCAUAGGGCCCUUUGGAGGCUCUGACGGCAGUUCGAAUCUGCCCGGGGCUA
rnacentral:tRNA from 1 species